CCUUGCCAGCCCGCUCAGAAACUCAAAUGAAUUGAGGGGGCCCGCACAAGCGGAGGAGCAUGUGGUUUAAUUCGAUGAUACGCGAGGAACCUUACCUGGGCUCGAACGUAAGAUGACUGUAGGUGAAAGCUUACAUCUCUUCGGAGCAUUUUACGAGGUGCUGCAUGGUUGUCGUCAGCUCGUGCCGUGAGGUGUCGGGUUAAGUCCCAUAACGAGCGCAACCCCUACCUUUAGUUGCCAUCAGGUUAAGCUGGGGACUCUAAAGGAACUGCCUACGCAAGUAGUGAGGAAGGUGGGGAUGACGUCAAAUCAGCACGGCCCUUACGUCCAGGGCUACACACGUGCUACAAUGGCCGGUACAAAGGGCAGCUACCUGGUGACAGGAUGCUAAUCUCAAAAGCCGGUCUCAGUUCGGAUCGGAGUCUGCAACCCGACUUCGUGAAGCUGGAUUCGCUAGUAAUCGCGCAUCAGCCAUGGCGCGGUGAAUACGUUCCCGGGCCUU
rnacentral:rRNA from 1 species